GAUGAACGCUAGCGGCAGGCCUAAUACAUGCAAGUCGGACGGGAUUCAGGAGCUUGCUUCUGAUGAGAGUGGCGCACGGGUGCGUAACACGUAUGUAACCUACCUUUAUCAGGGGGAUAGCCUCUCGAAAGAGAGAUUAAGCCCGCAUAAAAUCACAGCACAGCAUUGUGUAAUGAUCAAAUAUUUAUAGGAUAAAGAUGGGCAUGCGGAACAUUAGCUAGAUGGCGGGGUAACGGCCCACCAUGGCGACGAUGUUUAGGGGAUCUGAGAGGAUGGCCCCCCACACUGGUACUGAGACACGGACCAGAAUCCUACGGGAGGCAGCAGUAAGGAAUAUUGGUCAAUGGGCGGAAGCCUGAACCAGCCAUGCCGCGUGCAGGAAGACGGCCCUACGGGUUGUAAACUGCUUUUAGACGGGAAUAAACCCAGAUACGUGUAUCUGGCUGAAUGUACUGUAAGAAUAAGGAUCGGCUAACUCCGUG
rnacentral:rRNA from 1 species